rnacentral:lncRNA from 1 species
GUGGAAGCAGCGAAAAGCGAGCCUUUACCUUGGUAAUCUCCACCAACGAGCUACUAGCCAACUAAAUCAAUCGAGAACAGCCCAUAUCGAUCUCUUGACCGUCAAUAUGCUGAUGAUGAGCUGGUUCCAUGAGAAUCAGUGGAGAAGAAGCUAAAACCAGCACUCCUCCCCCUAAAACUUCGCCAGGGGCCACUAAAAAGCCUCAUCUGAUAAACUACUACCUUCUCCCCAA